GACGUAGGGGGCGAGCGUUGUCCGGAUUUAUUGGGCGUAAAGCGUGCGUAGGCGGCUGCGCAAGUCGGUUGUGAAACCCCGGGGCUCAACCCCGGAACUGCAUCCGAUACUGCGUGGCUAGAGGUAGGUAGGGGAGAUCGGAAUUCCUGGUGUAGCGGUGAAAUGCGCAGAUAUCAGGAGGAACACCGGUGGCGAAGGCGGGUCUCUGGGCAGUAACUGACGCUGAGGAGCGAAAGCGUGGGGAGCGAACAGG
rnacentral:rRNA from 1 species